AUGUUCCUGCCAAGCAUCGUUGCUGUACCCAGGAGCUGGCCCUGUCUGUCUUUGAUGUAUUUUUACAUUCAAGCUCACAACGUAACACUGCGAUUUGCUCUCUGUCAUCUAUGCCGGAUUGUAACGAACAGAGCAAUGCAUCUAAACACUGUCCUGUUUGUGUCGAACAUUCUUAAUCUUAAUAUAUCAAGAAGCGUUACUGCUCCGCGUCUACUCAGCUUGGCGUUGAGUUUUGUUUCCUUCCGUGUUUGGAUAAAAAAGUACUACCUCUGUUCCAAAAUACUUGAAAUUUUUUGCGAUAAUUAA
rnacentral:rRNA from 1 species